rnacentral:rRNA from 1 species
GCGGUAAUUUGUCUCUUAAUUGGAGAAUGGAAUGAAUGGUUUGAUGUAUAAAAGCUGUCUUUGUAAAAUCUUAUAAAAUUUCCUUUUAAGUGAAAAGGCUUAAUUAUUUGUAAAAGACGAGAAGACCCUAUCGAGUUUAAUUAAAAUUAUAAUUUUUUAUAGUUUGAAGUUUUAUUGGGGCAAUAAUAAUUAAUAAAACAAUUAUGUUAAAGAUUUAAAAUCCUUUUGGAAAGAAAAAAGCAAAAACUACCGUAGGGAUAACAGCGUUAUCCUUUUAAGAGAUCGAUGAGAGAAANGGG